GAUGAACGCUGGCGGCGUGCCUAAUACAUGCAAGUCGAGCGAACGGACGAGAAGCUUGCUUCUCUGAUGUUAGCGGCGGACGGGUGAGUAACACGUGGAUAACCUACCUAUAAGACUGGGAUAACUUCGGGAAACCGGAGCUAAUACCGGAUAAUAUUUUGAACCGCAUGGUUCAAAAGUGAAAGACGGUCUUGCUGUCACUUAUAGAUGGAUCCGCGCUGCAUUAGCUAGUUGGUAAGGUAACGGCUUACCAAGGCAACGAUGCAUAGCCGACCUGAGAGGGUGAUCGGCCACACUGGAACUGAGCCACGGUCCAGACUCCUACGGGAGGCAGCAGUAGGGAAUCUUCCGCAAUGGGCGAAAGCCUGACGGAGCAACGCCGCGUGAGUGAUGAAGGUCUUCGGAUCGUAAAACUCUGUUAUUAGGGAAGAACAUAUGUGUAAGUAACUGAGCACAUCUUGACGGUACCUAAUCAGAAAGCCACGGCUAACUACGUG
rnacentral:rRNA from 1 species